GGCACGCCAGGGGAAGGCCGGGGAAACCGCGCCGCACCCUGGCGGCGGUUUCCUAAACCGCAGGCCACAGGUUCGAUUCCUGUCGGGGUCA
rnacentral:tRNA from 1 species